ACCUGGUUGGAGUUGACAGCCUCAUCGGGCCAGAGACACAGAUUGGAGAGAAGUCAUCCAUUAAGCGCUCAGUCAUUGGCUCAUCCUGCCUCAUAAAAGAUAGAGUGACUAUUACCAAUUGCCUUCUCAUGAACUCAGUCACUGUGGAGGAAGGGGUCAUAAGUAGUUUAGAAAGCCUGUCAACUAAUCUUCAAAACAGAAAAGAACCUGCCUAUCCUCAGAGUUACUGAAAAGUUUCAUGGCUCUUUGCCGAAUAUUCUCUAAGUCAAUAUCUGAGGCAGGAGCCCGUGAUACAGUGGAGUGUCACUUUAGGCCUG
rnacentral:sRNA from 1 species